CCUACGGGAGGCAGCAGUGAGGAAUAUUGGUCAAUGGACGGGAGUCUGAACCAGCCAAGUAGCGUGAGGGAUGACUGCCCUAUGGGUUGUAAACCUCUUUUGUAAGGGGAUAACACGCUCCACGUGUGCAUUUUUGCAGGUACUUUAUGAAUAAGGGCCGGCUAACUCCGUGCCAGCAGCCGCGGUAAUACGGAGGAUCCGAGCGUUAACCGGAUUUAUUGGGUUUAAAGGGAGCGUAGACGGGGUGUGAAGUCAGAUGUGAAAGUUUGCGGCUCAACCGUAGAACGGCAAUUGAUACUGGCAGUCUUGAGUACAGAUGAGGGAGGCGGAAUUCGUGGUGUAGCGGUGAAAUGCAUAGAUAUCACGAAGAACCCCGAUUGCGAAGGCAGCUUACUAAACUGUGACUGACACUGAUGCUCGAAAGUGUGGGUAUCAAACAGGAUUAGAUACCCUUGUAGUC
rnacentral:rRNA from 1 species